rnacentral:tRNA from 1 species
GGGCCUGUAGCUCAACGGCAGAGCGGUCGGCUCAUAACCGAUUGGUUCAAGGUUCGAAUCCUUGCGGGCCCA